rnacentral:tRNA from 1 species
GAGAUGUUAAUUAAAUAAUAAUAAUGCCUUGUCAAGACAUAAUUAUAGGUUAAACCCCUGUACAUCUCC